UACGUAGGGUGCGAGCGUUGUCCGGAAUUAUUGGGCGUAAAGAGCUCGUAGGCGGUGUGUCACGUCGGCCGUGAAAACCAGCAGCUCAACUGUUGGCUUGCGGUUGAUACGGGUGGGCUGGAGUUCGGUAGGGGAGACUGGAAUUCCCGGUGUAGCGGUGAAAUGCGCAGAUAUCAGGAGGAACACCGGUGGCGAAGGCGGGUCUCUGGGCCAGCACUGACGCUCAUGCGCGAAAGCGUGGGGAGCAAACAGG
rnacentral:rRNA from 1 species